GUUCGGGUCUGUGGGACCCGUUUUCAGUUUUUAGCUUUAUAAAAGUGAUGCAAAUAAUUAUUUUUUUGAACUAAGAUUCAUUGGCUUUGGCUCAUUUUCUGUGAGGAACAUGAAUCAGAAAACAUUUUCAAUGACCCCCCCCUGUAUACCCCCCCAUCACAUUUAUAUUACACACAGGGUGUUCGGGUCCAGUGGACCCGGAGCUGUUUAAGUGUGGAAAUCAUAGGUUCUGUGCACCCUAAUUUUCCCUUCUUCCUCUCUGUGUGUGUGUGUGUGUGUGUGUGUGUGUGUGUGUAGGGGAAAGAGAGAGGGGGAAAGAGUAAAGCAGGUGAAUGGGCCCUUGGUGUGAGCACCCACAGUGUGCACCCACAGUGUGCACCCACUGUUUGCAACCUUGUGCAUCCCGCACAAGGUUGCAAAAUUGGAGCACCCAACACUAUCAAGCUUGGGGACCUGACACUAUAAAAAAGCUCUGUCAGCGUGGUUCCAUACCACAACUGAUCAAGUUGGCAAAGCGAAUCUCUGUUCAGACUGCCCUACAGUUGAUAUUUGAAGAGACAGAGGGUUUUGAUGGUGAUGCAGAGGAAAUAGUUUCGGAAAGUGAGGAUAACAUUUCAGAGUCUGACACCGAGUUUGAAGAGGAGGAUGAGCAUCAGCCAGCUUCGAAACGUAAAAGAGCCUCAGGACUAGCCCUUCAGCAGCCAGGACAAGCCUGCGAGCAGCAAGCCCCAGGACCAUCCCGUGAGCAGCCAGGACCAGCCCGCAAGCAGCCAGCCCCAGGAACAUCCCGUGAGCAGCCAGGACCAGCCCGCGAGCAGCCAACCCCAGGACCAACCCGCGAGUAGCCAGCCCCAGUACCAGCCCGCGAGCAGCCAGCCCCAGGACCAACUCGCAAGCAGCCAGCCCCAGGAACAACCCGCAAGCAGCCAGCCCGAGGACCAACCCGCAAGCAGCCAGCCCCAGGACCAACCCGCAAGCAGCCAGCCCCAGGACCAACCCGCAAGCAGCCAGCCCCAGGAACAACCCGCAAGCAGCCAGCCCCAGGAACAACCCGCAAGCAGUCAGCCCCAGGACCAACCCGCAAGCAGCCAGAUGUAGGACCAGCCCGUCAGCCAAAAAGAAACGCUGUGAAGUGUGUGGACCCAUGAUGGACAGAAAAACACAAUAUACAUGCAACCAGUGCAAAAAAUACAUAUGCAAUACACACACAGUGAGACUCUGCCCCUCAUGUGUGGUAUAGUCUGAUAUACGUAUAAUGGCUGUGUUCAAAGGCUUUAAUGUGUUGUUCAGACAGAUGUUAUUGAGUAUGUUUCAAUUUCUAAUGAUGUUGAUUAUUUCCCAGUUAUGCCUGUUUUAUGAGGCAUUUCCUUAUUUUGUUGCAUUUUAAUAUAAAAAGAAACAAAAACGGGUGGCACCUCUAUUCAUAAAUGUGAUUUAACAAAGGUAAAGGGAUCAAAUUUAACAUAUGUGUUGUUUAUAUUACUUGCAAUUGGGUUGAAGUAACCAUUUGGUGAGUAUUUUAAAAAAAAAGUUAGAUUACGUUGAAUUAAAAGGCCUAAAAGGCAAUGGGUCCACCAGACCCAGCAGCACCUCCUGUGUAACAAAAACACGAACACCCUAUGAGGGUUAA
ensembl:lncRNA